UAGAAGCAAUGUAGUUAGCUCCCUGGGGAC
rnacentral:piRNA from 1 species